rnacentral:rRNA from 1 species
CCUACGGGAGGCAGCAGUGAGGAAUAUUGGUCAAUGGCCGGAAGGCUGAACCAGCCAUGCCGCGUGAAGGUCAGUGCCCUAUGGGCGUUAAACUUCUUUUGUGCGGGAGCAAUAAUGGUCACGUGUGGCCAGACGAGAGUACCGUACGAAUAAGCAUCGGCUAACUCCGUGCCAGCAGCCGCGGUAAUACGGGGGAUGCAAGCGUUAUCCGGAUUUAUUGGGUUUAAAGGGUGCGUAGGCUGUGAGGUAAGUCAGCGGUGAAAUGCCCCCGCUCAACGGGGUGAAGUGCCAUUGAUACUGCCUGGCUGGAAUGCGGAUGCCGUGGGAGGAAUGUGGGGUGUAGCGGUGAAAUGCAUAGAUAUCACACAGAACACCGAUUGCGAAGGCAUCUCACGAAUCCGCGAUUGACGCUGAUGCACGAAAGCGUGGGUAUCAAACAGGAUUAGAUACCCGAGUAGUC